GCCUUCGUGGUGUAGUGGUCUGCACGCUCGACUCGUGACCGAGAGAGAGGUCCGUGGUUCGAUUCUCGGAGAAGACG
rnacentral:tRNA from 1 species